CAAAAAGUAACAAUCAAAUACCAAUUGAUGGUUUCAGAGUAGUGAUCCUCAAGGGUCAUUUUAAAGAUAGACCUUUAAUCAUAUGCAUCAUUCACAAUUAAUGACCGUUACAUUAAAAUAGAAAGAAAAAAAGCUAGCUCUCUUUGAAUUAAUAAUAUUAUUAUGCCAUGGUUAGAAGUUACAACUUUUUCUUUUUUUUUUUUUUUGGUAGGAACAACUUUUUCUUUUUUUUGUGCAACAGAAGUUAGAACUUAAGAACACAUAAAUUGGUAAAACUAGUAGAGAGAUGCAAUUAAUAGUUUCCUCAUAGAAAAUAAUGUCUGUUGCUUUCUUAAUGGGCUUUUACAGACACUUAAAAUAUUGUCUUUAAAGCCCAAUUUUA
rnacentral:lncRNA from 1 species